ensembl:lncRNA
AUGGCCUCCUGCUUAUUUAUGGUCUUCAUUUGGAUGGACACAAGCAGCCUGAGCAUCGGCCCCUCAGACGUUCCAGCAGCAACAGCUGGAGACUCGCAGCACAGAAGGUUUCACAUCCAACUUCAGGGCUUCCCGUUAAACCCCCGUUGCGUUUGCGAGGGCGUCCCCGACCGAGUGUCCAGCCUCUCUGAAGGACCCCGUGUUCCCCAUAUGAAGCCCUGGACUCGGCUUUCCUCUGAGUGGGACUUCCAGAUGGCGGCUCUGAGUACGUUCAAGAGGGAACGGAGAGGACUUUAGUUUCCCACAGACUAUAUGGUCAGAGGUACUUUUAUUCCACAGAAAAUGUCGUGCUACAAAACCACAUUAUACAAUGACGUUGGGUCUAAUUCUCCCUUUUUGGAGAUACAACGAUUAAAAGCAGUUCCCUCUAAAUACCUGCGUUAAACCAAGGUUUAAGUUGAGCUGAAGCCGCUGUGCCUCUGAAGUCAAAGGUCUAGAAGGGGGAGAAAAAGGCCAAUCUUGGUUUACACAGUAUGGGUAUAUAAAUAUUAUCUAAGCUCCUCCCUCUUAUCCAGUCAGGCCCUCAUUGUGCCAUCAUGAGCACGAUUUUAUGAAGGUAGAUUUGUGUCUGAGUUUGUAAGUAAAACUAUAUCAACUGACAAUACAUUAUUUGUUAAAAAUUUGCUUUCAAUGUUUUUUUUAGUUUUGCAUAAUGAAGACACAUCUACCUUUUUAUGACUUCAUUUCCUAUUCCCAGGAGGGUUAUUUCCUCUAUGAAUAUAACUUCGUGGGAACAGCAGGUGCUAAACGCUUGAGAUGGUUCCACCCGGCUCUCUAUUCCCUGUGUAAGCUUCUUUCCAUCAACUGAGUUAGGUUUUCUUAUUACUUUCACAAUACCUACUUAUCCAACUCCCGCCUCUUACGAGCUGGUUAAUUCACUUCAUAUUCAACAUUGACAGCGGCGUCCCCUUAGCUGUGUGUAACCAGUGAGAGCAGAGAACCCGUCAAAGCUCACAGGAGCUGACAACAUCUCAUUUCACGUCACUGAGUGUUUAUCAGGAAGAAAACAAGUCCACAGUAAAUAAAAAUCAACUAUAGAAUUGCUGUUAUCUCCCUCCGAGCCGUAGUCCUGCCAGAGCUCCAGAUGGGACUGCCGAGGAGGUUGAUGAAGUGGCGGCGUCCUAAUCUCCCGCUGAAGACGAGGAGGAAGCUGCGAAGAAGGGAGCGGACAAGAAGAAGGAGAAGAAGAAGAAGAAGAAUGAACUGCCUCUCCGGUCCAGGCAGUGUGCCAGAAACCGGCCCAACGCGUCAGCUUCUGGCCACCGCUUUGUUUUUAUUUAUUUUUUUGUUCUUAUUCAAAUCCACAAACACAACAGGCCUGAAUACUGAAAGCGAAUCAUAUUUCGGUAUUAUUUCUUUAUAAUUUAUGUUCUUUUUUUACCGGUUCAAG